UCACUUUGCAUUGCGUGUUGGUCC
rnacentral:siRNA from 1 species